AGGGACACCCCCAAACCCAUAGGGACACCCCCAAACCUAUAGGGACACCCCCAGACCCAUAGGGACACCCCAAGACCUACAGAGAUACUCUGAGAUCUAUAGGGACAUCACUAAGGCUUAUAGGGACGCCCCCAGAUCUAUACGGACACCCCCAGACCCAUAGGGACACCCAGAGACCUAUAGGGACACCCCCAGACCCAUAAGGUCACCCCCAGACCCAUAGGGACGCCCCAGAGACCCAUAGGGAUGACCCCAGACCCAUAGGGACGCCCCCAGCCCCAAAGGGACACCCUACAAAAACCCCUAAAACCUUUCCAUCCCCACAGCCCUAUAAAAACCCUUUGAGUGCUUCCUACAGCCCCAUAUGGGACCCACAGGACCCCAAAAAGGCUCACCGGGCGAAGUCGACCCACUUCUCGAUGAUCUUUUUGGGUGACAGCCGGGUGCAGAUGAUGCCCACGAAGUCGGGCUGGGAUGGGUGACACGGGGAGGUGACACAGGGGACACACACACACACGUGGGGACGACCCCAUAAACCUUAUAGGGUCGGGCUAUACCUUGUCCUCGUGUAGGGCCAGGUGAUGGGACGCCAGCAUGCGCAUCCCCAGGCGUGAGGUCAGAGUCUUGUCCAGGAAGGGACGCAACAGCCGCUCAUCCUGUGGGGUUUGGGGACACCCCAAUGUCACCCCAUGUCCCCAAUGCCCAAGGAAAGAGGACUUGGGGACACCCCAAAUCCAAAUGUCCAAAGAAGGAGGAUUUGGGAACACCCCAAUGUCACCCCAUGUCCCAAAUGUCUGAGGGAAGAGGAUUUGGGGACACCCCAACAUCAUCCCAUAUCCCAAAUGUUCAAGGAAAGAGGAUUUGGGGACACCCCAAUGUCACCCCAUAUCCCAAAUGUCCAAGGAGAGAGGAUUUGGGGUCACCCCAUCUCCAAAACAUCCAAGGAAAAAGGAUUUAAGGACACAACAGCCGCUCAUCCUGUGGGGUUUGGGGACACCCCAAUGUCACCCCAUGUCCCAAAUGUCCAAAGAAAGAGGAUUUGGGGACACCCCAAUGUCACCCCAUGUCCCAAAUGUCCGAGGAAAGAGAAUUUGGGGACACCCCAAUGUCAUCCCAUCUCCCAAAUGUUCAAGGAAAGAGGAUUUGGG
rnacentral:lncRNA from 1 species